UACAUUUUAACUACUAAGAAUAUAUUCAUUGUUCAGAAUAUAUAUUAAUUUGAUUUUACAAUGUGUGUUGAAGACUUUGCUAUAGGUAAACACAGAACCUCUGGAGAGAUACUCAGAUGAAUAAACAGUCUCCAUCCUUGAAGGAGGAUGCUUUCAGUGAGAUAAAGGAACUUGUAACAACACGGUAAGGCAAUGGACUUGAACAGCGGUGGAAAGGAUGCCCUUGUGAGGGCAGUUAUGGGACACUGGGGCUCAGGUUGGUCCAGUAUUGUGAUGAACAUUCUUUGCUUUUUCAUAGUAAACCAUUACCGACCAAUCACACUUGAAUUUAAACCCAUCUGGGUGAACUUUACAUUCUCCCCCUAAAAGAAGUCAUGGUAAUUUGAUCUACAGUUCAGAAGCAGACCCAGAGAAUGAAUGAGCCUUUCUGAAGAAAAUCCUGUGAGGGAGAAUGAAGGUAUAACACCUGGCUUCCUGGAGACUGUAUAAGAACCUGGUGCUCUGGGCAUCAAUGGGGUGCAGUCUUCUGACCCCAGCUCACAAUAUCACUUCUUGAAGUUCAAGACCAUCACAAUGAAGAUGUGAUUACAUAAUGAGUGUCUCAAGUUGCCAGUUAAGUACCAAAACUCAAAGCCACCAUUACAAUAUGCUGAUGGCAACAUAGAACAUGAGGAGAGCAAUAUCCAGAAUGAGAACUUGCUGAUCUGAGGGAAAUCCACUAUCCAGAAGCAAGGUAAAGUGGUGUCCAGAGCAUGAACGCUGGAGCUGGACUACUUAGAUUCAAAUCCCUGCUCAAUUGUCUGUUGGCUGUGUGACUUAGGGAUGGAUUCUAGAGCCCUCUGGAAUGCAAAUCAGACAAGCAGGAGUGUUGCAGAAAGGAAGAUGCUGCAAAGGACUCCAGCAGCAAAGGAAGUCCUUCUAUAAUGAAGAGUUGAAGGCUGAAGCCGACGCUUUCUGAACGUGGGACAGGCUUGCCACCUCCAUCUUGUCAGUCUUCUCUUGGUGUAUGAUGGGACAAGGGAAGCUUCUCUCAAGAGACAAUUAAAAUAGUGUUUUAAG